CACAGCCGCGGGAAUACGUAGGUGGCAAGCGUUGUCCGGAAUUAUUGGGCGUAAAGGGCUCGCAGGCGGUUUCUUAAGUCUGAUGUGAAAGCCCCCGGCUCAACCGGGGAGGGUCAUUGGAAACUGGGAAACUUGAGUGCAGAAGAGGAGAGUGGAAUUCCACGUGUAGCGGUGAAAUGCGUAGAGAUGUGGAGGAACACCAGUGGCGAAGGCGACUCUCUGGUCUGUAACUGACGCUGAGGAGCGAAAGCGUGGGGAGCGAACAGGAUUAGAUACCCCGGUAGUCCCUGUCUCUUAUACA
rnacentral:rRNA from 1 species